UACAGAGGUCUCAAGCGUUGUUCGGAUUCAUUGGGCGUAAAGGGUGCGUAGGCGGCGCGGUAAGUCGGGUGUGAAAUCUUGGAGCUUAACUCCGAAACUGCAUUCGAUACUGCCGUGCUUGAGGACUGGAGAGGAGACUGGAAUUCAUGGUGUAGCAGUGAAAUGCGUAGAGAUCAUGAGGAAGACCAGUGGCGAAGGCGGGUCUCUGGACAGUUCCUGACACUGAGGCACGAAGGCCAGGGGGGGCAAACGGG
rnacentral:rRNA from 1 species